UCAUAAACAGGCACGCGUUAGCGAUUGAAACGGCAUCCUUUUUGCUUUUUGCAAAAAGAUAUAGUGAAAAGCGCGACUUGGU
rnacentral:sRNA from 1 species